rnacentral:misc_RNA from 1 species
CGCACAUGUGCUGGCUGGGUUUAAUUUCCGAGCCCACGCGAAGGAACCAAUAUGGACAUAUUCCAAAGACUUCAAAAUGACACUUUGAAAGAUCUGGGACUGUUCACGUGCAAUGUGGAGUGAUAUAAUCCCAACAGCUCGUGGAAAUGACAGAAAUGACGAAACGGGUACAGUUUGAGGAUGACAGUAACAGCCAAGUUGAACCGCUGCAUCGCGCAUGUGCGCUGGGAUCCUUAGACGACAUUCGGGACUUCUUCAACAGCAAUCCAAAACUAGACGACCAUUUCUACGAAGGGUUGUCUCCCUUGCACGUUGCGAUACUGAGUGACCGCACUGACGUCAUCGAUGUGAUAGACGUCCUCGUCAACAAUGGCGUCGACGUGAAUGCUCAGACAGAGACGAAUAAAGACACAGCCCUCCACCUAGCGGUAGAAAACGGAGAGUUUCCUCAAAAUUAUGACGUCAUAGUCAAAUUAAUCGACUGCAAGGCCGAUGCUGAAAUCCGCAAUAAGCGACUCCGUUCCGCCUAUGACUGUGCACUGGCCAAAGGCCACGACUUGGUUGCCUCAACGCUGGACGGUUCCAAAAGCACCAACGAGGUGCAGAAUUCCUACCGUGAACGAUACGGGGAGAAGUAUGCUCCCAUCCUGAACGAGGCAGUGUUGGAGAGCGAUGAGGACACUAUGAAGGAGUACAUCAAGAAGGGUGCAGAUCCCAACUACAUCAACAAGUAUGGCGCCGGCGCUAUCCACUAUGCACUCACUCGAUGUACACUUCCUGUCAUGCGCGUGCUGGACAUGCUUAUUUCCGCUGGGGCGGAUGUUGAUCUCCGAGAUGAUGAAGGCGACAGUGCUCUUAACCUGGCCAUCAAGAACGAGGAUCUUCGCAAGAGCGGCCAGAUGAUGCAAGUGGUCAAUCUUCUCCUUGAGUGUGGCGCCGAUGUCACCUUUAAAGAUCUGGAUGGCAAGGACGCACUUACGCUAGCCAAGGAGAGGCAAUACAGCGAUGUUGUUGCGGUGUUGAACAAGUCCAAGUCGGAACACGUCAAGGAAGGAGAACAGAGUCCCGAGCCAUUGCCGGAGAGUAGUUCGGAGCAAUCUCCGGAACCAGUGCCAGUGCCAGGUACUCCAUUGCCGGAGAGUAGUUCGGAGCAAUCUCCGGAACCAGUGCCAGGUACUUCUCCGGUUCCCAAACCGGAAACAAUGUCAUCACCGGAACCGGAACACGUGGUGAUGGAAGCCUUGGAGGACACACGUGAGACCGAUGGCAACGUGAACAAACCGAAUGAGGACGGGCUGUAUCCAAUUCACCAGGCCGUGUUGAAGGACGACUCUGACGAGAGGCAGAAGUUGUUGGAGACGUUGACGGAAGCAGGCGCCGAUGUCAACGUUGUAGUCAAAGGGCUUGGUACGACACCUCUCCACCUGGCCGCGGAGAAGAACAGGGUCGACUCUGUGAAAUUCCUACUGGAACAUGGUGCUGACAAGACCAAGAAGACGCUGCUCGGCAAGACGGCGUUUGACAUGGCGUCGGACAAAGGGCAUACCGAGGUGAUGGAGCUGUUGGGCGACCGCCACGACAUCGUCCAGGACAGGUGGAAGAAGGGGGCCAAGAAGUCAAGCUCCUGCACCAUAUUAUGACCUGCAUACCUACAGCACCUCAGACCCAAGUGCAAUCCAUGUACUCCACGUCUAGUGAUAUUGAACUGUGAUAUAAAGUUGUAGCUUGGGGCGGUUUACAAAACACGAUGUAGGCUUAUUGGGUCAACUGUGUAGCCGUGUACACCACAAUUUGAAAGCACAACAAAAACCACAAGGACAAGAAUAAUCGCCAUAUUGGCAGUCGACCUCCAGAAUGUUUACGCUUAGCUUAUGCCUUAUAUCAGAACGUGUGUGUAUUACGCUACACCCUUUUGAUGAAAGGAGCUUGUCGGAUAUACAUUUCUUGGUACGUUAGCAUUUUUCAAAACGCCAUGGACCAAUAAUUUGAGGUACUUUAAUUGUAAGAUAGGAUAGAGUAAGUGAUGUAAAGUGGUGAAUGAGAGUAAUCUACGGUUAUAACGAACUCAACGGGAUCACUAAUUAUAGUUCAGGAUAACCGUAGUUCGUUACACGCAUUAGGAAUAAAAUAUACUGUGGUUGGGACAGAAAACAACAACAGAACCCCCAGUUCGUUAUAUCCGUCAAUUCGUUAUAAGCGUUGUUUACGGUACAUCGCUAAUAGCAAUGUGCUCACAGCCAUAUUGCAGCGAAAGGUCUUGUGGGACCAUAAAUCGCCUUUACACAUAGUACUCAUUGGCGGAUCCAGAGAAGGGGGGAAGGGACUUAAGACCUCAUUGAAGAUUUUUUUUGCGUUGGCGGAGCCAAUGGGGGGUUCAGCGGCUUCGCUGGUACUAAUGCAAGGAAGUGAACCCAGGUGUUUGGCGAGACCAGCCAGCACCUUUACCACUGGCCUACUUCACCCUUCUCGAUGUCAUUUCAGGAUGGGUGAAGAAUCUUCAAAAUCAUAAAGACCUAUCAUAAUUAACACCGUGAUUGUAGUUUUGCUCCACUUUUAAGAACUGACAAUCACUGACAUAAACAUCGUAAAUAAUGUAAGAUGAGAAAUCCUUUCAAUUGAUUCUUCCAGGCAUAUCCACGACUCAUCCAUAAGAGGUUGUGGUCUUCGAGGUAAAAAACAACUAGCGAACCUAUAAUAUAAUGUUUUUGGCACCGUCAGUGACAAUCCUGUGACACUUCAUCACGUUGUUUGUUGUGCAACGCCGCAGUCAACAAUAUUCUGCCUAUUUGGCGGUGUUGUGUAAAAUAUAUUUAUGUCCGCCCUGUAUACUCAUUGUAUAUAUUAUGAUAUUACAUUGUAAAUUAUUUUAUACCGGUGUAUGUUAAUGUAAACAACUGAUCAAGGAAAUAAAUAUUUUCCAAAAACGUG